rnacentral:piRNA from 1 species
CUAAAAGGUACAUAUGUGUGUU